GACGGAGGAGGCAAGCGUUAUCCGGAAUUAUUGGGCGUAAAGCGUCCGCAGGUGGCACCUCAAGUCUGCUGUCAAAGACCGGGGCUUAACCCCAGAAAGGCAGUGGAAACUGAAGUGCUAGAGUGCAGUAGGGGUAGAGGGAAUUCCCGGUGUAGCGGUGAAAUGCGUAGAGAUCGGGAAGAACAUCGGUGGCGAAAGCGCUCUGCUGGACUGCAACUGACACUCAGGGACGAAAGCUAGGGGAGCGAAUGGG
rnacentral:rRNA from 1 species